rnacentral:misc_RNA from 1 species
UAGAAUAAAAAAUACCAGGUAACGGGCAGUAUGGAAAAUAUAAAUGAAACAUUGCAAGGGUUAAGCGCGGCAAUAACGGUGUUAGCCGAUCAAUUUUCAAGUCUAAAAGGAGAAUUGAAGCAAUUGAAUAAUAAAGUGGAUAAAUUGGAAAAUAAGGAUACUAAUAAGUCUUUAUUAAUAGAAGAACAACAAAUCUCACUGGCCCGUCCACGUUCGGAGCUUGAAUUAAAUGAAAUUUCGUCAUUGCCGGACUGUGGCCUUAAACAAGCGAACAAUGAGUCGUAGUAUUGUCCGCAUUACUAGAAUCAUAUAG